GAUGAACGCUAGCUACAGGCUUAACACAUGCAAGUCGAGGGGAAACGACAUCGAAAGCUUGCUUUUGAUGGGCGUCGACCGGCGCACGGGUGAGUAACGCGUAUCCAACCUGCCCACCACUUGGGGAUAACCUUGCGAAAGUAAGACUAAUACCCAAUGACGUCUCUAGAAGACAUCUGAAAGGGAUUAAAGAUUUAUCGGUGAUGGAUGGGGAUGCGUCUGAUUAGCUUGUUGGCGGGGUAACGGCCCACCAAGGCAACGAUCAGUAGGGGUUCUGAGAGGAAGGUCCCCCCANAUUGGAACUGAGACACGGUCCAAAACUCCUACGGGGAGGCAGCAGUGAGGAAUAUUGGUCAAUGGGCCGAGAGGCCUUGGAAACCCAGCCAAGUAGCGUGCAGGACGACGGCCCCUAUGGGUUGUAAACUGCUUUUAUAAGGGAAUAAAGUGAGUCUCGUGAGACUUUUUGCAUGUACCUUAUGAAUAAGGACCGGCUAAUUCCGUG
rnacentral:rRNA from 1 species